UGGGGAAUUUUGGACAAUGGGCGAAAGCCUGAUCCAGCAAUGCCGCGUGUGUGAAGAAGGCCUUCGGGUUGUAAAGCACUUUUGUCCGGAAAGAAAUCCUUGGCUCUAAUACAGUCGGGGGAUGACGGUACCGGAAGAAUAAGCACCGGCUAACUACGUGCCAGCAGCCGCGGUAAUACGUAGGGUGCAAGCGUUAAUCGGAAUUACUGGGCGUAAGCGUGCGCAGGCGGUUUGCUAAGACCGAUGUGAAAUCCCCGGGCUCAACCUGGGAACUGCAUUGGUGACUGGCAGGCUAGAGUAUGGCAGAGGGGGGUAGAAUUCCACGUGUAGCAGUGAAAUGCGUAGAGAUGUGGAGGAAUACCGAUGGCGAAGGCAGCCCCCUGGGCCAAUACUGACGCUCAUGCACGAAAGCGUGGGGAGCAAACAGGAUUAGAUACCCUGGUAGUCCACGCCCUAAACGAUGUCAACUAGUUGUUGGGGAUUCAUUUCCUUAGUAACGUAGCUAACGCGUGAAGUUGACCGCCUGGGGAGUACGGUCGCAAGAUUAAAACUUAAAUGAAUUGACGGGGUCAUAGCUGUUUCCU
rnacentral:rRNA from 1 species